CAGGCUGUACUUUCAGGGAUCAUUUCUAUAGUUGGUGACUAGAGGAGUUUCUCUGAUCGUGUUGAGUACCUAGU
rnacentral:snoRNA from 1 species